AACUUGAGAGUUUGAUCCUGGCUCAGAACGAACGCUGGCGGCAGGCUUAACACAUGCAAGUCGAGCGCGUAGCAAUACGAGCGGCAGACGGGUGAGUAACGCGUGGGAAUCUACCCAUCUCUACGGAACAACUCCGGGAAACUGGAGCUAAUACCGUAUACGUCCUUUUGGAGAAAGAUUUAUCGGAGAUGGAUGAGCCCGCGUUGGAUUAGCUAGUUGGUGGGGUAAUGGCCUACCAAGGCGACGAUCCAUAGCUGGUCUGAGAGGAUGAUCAGCCACACUGGGACUGAGACACGGCCCAGACUCCUACGGGAGGCAGCAGUGGGGAAUAUUGGACAAUGGGCGAAAGCCUG
rnacentral:rRNA from 1 species